rnacentral:rRNA from 1 species
UACGUAGGGGCUAGCGUUAUCCGGAAUUACUGGGCGUAAAGGGUGCGUAGGUGGUUUCUUAAGUCAGAGGUGAAAGGCUACGGCUCAACCGUAGUAAGCCUUUGAAACUGAGAAACUUGAGUGCAGGAGAGGAGAGUAGAAUUCCUAGUGUAGCGGUGAAAUGCGUAGAUAUUAGGAGGAACACCAGUGGCGAAGGCGGCUUCCUGGUCUGUAACUGACACUGAGGCGCGAAAGCGUGGGGAGCAAACAGGAUUAGAUACCCGCGUAGUCCCUGAG